AGAGUUGAUCAUGGCUCAGGACGAACGCUGGCGGCGUGCUUAACACAUGCAAGUCGAACGGAGCUUAAGGAAGAGCUUGCUCUGAGAUAAGCUUAGUGGCGGACGGGUGAGUAACGCGUGAGGAACCUGGUUUACACAGGGGGAUAACGGCCCGAAAGGGUUGCUAAUACCGCAUAAGACCACAACACCGCAUGAUGAAGGGGUCAAAGGAGAAAUCCGGUGUAAAAUGGACUCGCGUCCCAUUAGGCAGUUGGUGAGGUAACGGCCCACCAAACCGACGAUGGGUAGCCGACCUGAGAGGGUGAUCGGCCACAUUGGAACUGAGAGACGGUCCAAACUCCUACGGGAGGCAGCAGUGGGGAAUAUUGGGCAAUGGGCGCAAGCCUGAACCCCAGCAACGCCGCGUGAGGGAAGAAGGUUUUCGGAUUGUAAACCUCUGUCCUUGAUGAAAAGCAGGAGAUGGUAAUUAAGGAGGAAGCCCCGGCUAACUACGUGCCAGCAGCUGC
rnacentral:rRNA from 1 species